UACGGAGGGUGCAAGCGUUAUCCGGAUUUACUGGGUUUAAAGGGUGCGUAGGCGGGCCUAUAAGUCAGUGGUGAAAUCUCCGGGCCUAACCCGGAAACUGCCAUUGAUACUAUGGGUCUUGAAUACAGUUGAGGUGGGCGGAAUGUGUCGUGUAGCGGUGAAAUGCUUAGAUAUGACACAGAACACCGAUUGCGAAGGCAGCUCGCUAAACUGUGAUUGACGCUGAGGCACGAAAGCGUGGGGAUCAAACAGG
rnacentral:rRNA from 1 species